AACAUGUCUUUUUGAUAAUAAUUUAAAGUCUAAUCUGCCCACUGAAUUAUUUUAAAGGGCUGCAGUAUAUUGACUGUACAAAGGUAGCAUAAUCAUUAGUCUUUUAAUUGAAGACUUGUAUGAAUGAUUUGAUGAAAUAUAAACUGUCUCUUUAUUAAUAAUAGAAAUUAAUUUUUUAGUUAAAAAGCUAAAAUUUAUUUAAAAGACGAGAAGACCCUAUAGAGUUUUAUAUUUAAAUUUAUAUUAAUUCUUUAUAAAAUUUAUAUUUAAUAUUUUUUUAAUUAUUUUAUUGGGGUGAUAGAAAAAUUUAUUAAACUUUUUUUAAAAUUUUUACAUUAAUAUAUGAAAUUUUGAUCCAUAAUUUAUGAUUAAAAGAUUAAAUUACCUUAGGGAUAACAGCGUAAUUUUUUUUUUUAGUUCUUAUAAGAAAAAAAGUUUGCGACCUCGAUGUUGGAUUAAGAUAAAAUUUAAAUGCAAAAGUUUAAAAUUUUGAUCUGUUCGAUCAUUAAAAUCUUACGUGAU
rnacentral:rRNA from 1 species